rnacentral:lncRNA from 11 species
AGGCAGAGAGAGGGGGGAGGGGAGGGGAGGGGAGGGGAGGGAAAAGGACGGGCCCAGCCAGCAAAGCAGCCAUUCGACAGCCUCUGCUCAGGCACAGCCAAGGCAUUCAGGAGCCAGGCUGGCAGUUCAAGAUGGUGCCUGCCUAAGAAAACACUUGAAGUUGGGUUACUCCUUGAAAAGCCAUUGAUCUGACAAUUGGAAAGAGGAGGCCGAGGAGGAGGAGGAAAUGGAACAACAACAACAACAACAACAACCUUCCUGUCUCCCAAUCUGAGAUCUAAGGGG